GGAGUACCAGCAGAGGCGAUCGUUUCCCCAAUGUCAACAACUGCACACGGACCAAAGACCAGCGAAAUAGCGCAUUAAAAGAUGGAUUUAGAUGACUUCAGGACACAUAUAUAGUUACGUCAGAUCACAUACUCCAACAGCUCUUUAAAGAAGCCAUCUCUUGUAAAGGUUUUCUCUCUCUCUCUCUCUCUCUCUCUCAGCUUUUCCUUUCCUAUUUUUCCAAACUGUAAUUCGUAAUUCAUUUACACAUAUUUUGCUCGCUCUCUUUCUGUAUAUCGGCAUAUUUUUAAAACAUAUCAUCAAAUUUUGACCAAUUCUUUCAGAAAGCUGCUGGAAUUAACAGGGAACUUGAACUCGAAGCUGUCGAUGCUGAUCUUGAAGAAGCUGCCAAGGAGGCUGAACAAAUCCUUCAAAGGUUCAGCCCUUCACAGGUUUUUUUUAACACAUUUAGUAAUAACUGAUUUGCUUUAAUGAACACAUCUUUAUAUUAUGUGUUGAUAAUAUCUGUCCUUAUAGUCCUUCCUCUCAAAUAUUUUGCUCACAGAUAAUUUUUAACACUGUCUCAACAUGUUGUGACGCGUGUCCCGAGGCCUCAUCAGCGUCGCCCUGGAAACAGAGGAGGAACACCUGCUCGUCAUCACCACGGGCUGGCCGGCCACACCUGAGGCUCGUUACCAGCCGCCUAUAUAAGCCGCCAGAAGGCUCAGAGCGGGUGAGGCAUGACUCCAGUUAGGGUAUCGCUAACUUUCCUCUCCAUUUCCCGCAGAGAGCAGCGUCUGACCGGCCAGCCCGAGAUCCCCUCAACGCACGGACACCAGAACCUCACUCACGUGGAGCACAGAGAGUAGCAGAUCCUGGAGCACGAAGACCUCACUCACGAACACUACGGCACGACUCACUCACUCAAUAAAUGCACCCUUCGGGGCAUUCAUUGAUCUCCCUUGUCGCGUGAUUCCUCCACCCGUUACAGUGGUGGAGAAUGCGGGCAAGGCGGAGCCUCGACAGCGCAGUUGGGCAACACCUGAAGACGUCAUCCCCUCUCGCCGAAGUUCGUGGAGAAGCGUGUGGGACGGAGAAACACGGAGACGGCCUCCCAGCCACUAAAGGGGUAAGUGACGUUUCCCCAUUUAUCAUCUUACCCUGUGGUUGGUUGAGGCCGUCGACUAAUACCGGUUUCUCUGUCCCUGUUCCGGCGCGGUGCGAGAGGGAGGAUCGCCCGGAGAGGAAUCCCUGCUCCGCCCACUCCGACCGUAUGGAGCCUGGUUGAGGAAGGUAGCACUCCUGCGUGGGCGGCGACCGAUGACAGGGAUGUCGCUUGGGGGGGGAAAUGUGACGGACCGGUGGCCCUCCCCCUCAUCAUCAUCACCACCCCGUCCCUUAUCCGCCGCCCUUCACCAGGCUCCCGACUGGAGUGGGUGGAUGAGAGGAGGGGCGUGGGAUCAACGCGGGCUGGUGGCGUGUGAUGAGGCACAGCUGGACUGAAUGAAGCCUCAUCACCGCCGCUGUUAAAUGCCCAGCGCGCCUCUCCUCGGGAGACCGGUCUCUUCCCCCGUGCAUGCACGCUGGUGUCCUCGUGGGUCCAGGAAGGGUGCGUUGAGGGACGUCGCGCCACCGGAGCUGUGAGCAGCAGGAUCCAGAGUCCGGGAGAAAAGCCGCACCCGUAUUACGGCCGUCGGACCAGAGAUGUCGGGGCGUCUAAAGUCCCGCCAAUGCCCGUAAGAGGCAGAAGAGGAAGAGCCGCCGCUCAGGAGAAGCCGCCGCCCCUCGUGCCCCGGACCGCGGGAGCGUGUGCGGCCACCGGACUCCGCCCCUUCCUUGAACCCCUCCUUCCUCCCGGAACACUGCCCUCCUUCACGAGCCCCGCAGCACAACGAGGACACCAGAUCCCCCCUGUUUCUUUGGACACUUCUUCCCCCUGAACACUUUAUUUUAUCCUUUUUGUGUAAUAAAAGCCUCUCCGAGGCCUGACGCCACACCCACUGUGUCUGUCGUUGGCUCCUCCCGUCACAAUGUAUAUAUUUCUCUUCGUUUCAGCUGAGAGGGAAGACCAAAGCAAGGCCUGUCAUGGGAUUUGAAUUUGGCCGUAUUGUGCAUUUACGGAGAAGACCGAAAGCUGCAAAGGAAAACAUUUCCAAUGGAUUUCUCACAUACUACUCCAUCAGCUCUCCACAAUAUCAGCCCUUUCAAAAGCUUCCACAUCUCUCUCUCUCGUGUAGCACCUCUGCUCUCAGCCCUUUACUGCCAACGUCCAGUCUUAGCAUAUCUACUUGUUUUAAUUUCGACUGUAAAGUAGAAAUGAAAACAUAAUAUUUUACAAACCGGGAGUUUUGAGGCUCCAGUUGAAAAUAUAUUAUUUUCUUACCUUUAAUGAAGAAAUAUUUUACAAUUAUUAUUCUCCUGUAAUCAUUGUUUGCAUCUAUUGUGAGUAAAUGCAGGACCAAUUAAAAUUGUUAACAAUUAUAAUUUUGUUUUUGACCAUUACAAUUUUCAUCAAGAAUUAACAAUUUUAUACCUUCAUACAUGUGUGUGGGGAUUAACCAU